rnacentral:tRNA from 1 species
GGGACUGUAGUUCAAUGGUAGAACUUCUGCUUCCCAAGCAGACAGCGCGGGUUCGAUUCCCGUCAGUCCCU